rnacentral:rRNA from 1 species
UACGAAGGGGGCUAGCGUUGCUCGGAAUCACUGGGCGUAAAGCGCACGUAGGCGGCUCUUUAAGUCAGGGGUGAAAUCCUGGAGCUCAACUCCAGAACUGCCUUUGAUACUGAGGAUCUUGAGUCCGGGAGAGGUGAGUGGAACUCCGAGUGUAGAGGUGAAAUUCGUAGAUAUUCGGAAGAACACCAGUGGCGAAGGCGGCUCACUGGCCCGGUACUGACGCUGAGGUGCGAAAGCGUGGGGAGCAAACGGG